GGGUCAUUAGGUUGGUCGUGCCACCGGUACGUACUGGUCUCACUGAUUCCUCCUUCCUGAAGAACCGUAAUGCCAUUAAUCUGGUGUUGCGGGGAAACAGGACUGUUACUUUGAAAAAAUUAGAGUGUUUAAAGCAAGCUAACGCUUGAAUACAUUAGCAUGUAAUAAUGAAAUAGGACGAUCGAUCCUAUUUUGUUGGUUUCUAGGAUUGACGUA
rnacentral:rRNA from 1 species